GACGAACGCUGGCGGCGUGCUUAACACAUGCAAGUCGAACGGAAAGGCCCUGCUUUUGUGGGGUGCUCGAGUGGCGAACGGGUGAGUAACACGUGUGUAACCUGCCCUUGACUUUGGGAUAACUCCAGGAAACUGGGGAUAAUAUCGGAUAGGAGCUCCUGAUGCAUGGUGGGGGUUGGAAAGUUUCGGCGGUUGGGGAUGGACUCGCGGCUUAUCAGCUUGUUGGUGGGGUAGUGGCUUACCAAGGCUUUGACGGGUAGCCGGCCUGAGAGGGGGACCGGCCACAUUGGGACUGAGAUACGGCCCAGACUCCUACGGGAGGCAGCAGUGGGGAAUAUUGCACAAUGGGCGGAAGCCUGAUGCAGCAACGCCGCGUGCGGGAUGACGGCCUUCGGGUUGUAAACCGCUUUCGCCUGUGACGAAGCGUGAUUGACGGUAAUGGGUAAGAAAGCACCGGCUAACUACGUG
rnacentral:rRNA from 1 species